rnacentral:misc_RNA from 1 species
UAUUUAUAGAGCUGUUCCAAGCUGCUUGGAUCAGAUUUAUCAAGAACUUUGUGUUGAAAGUUUUGAGGAGUCAUCUUUGAAAUUCCUUAGAUGAUUGUACGGCCAAAUAUAAGAGAAAGACAUAAUAAUAUUUGUCAGCACUCAAGUGUUCCUUGGUUGUCCAAUGUCUUUGUUAGGUGGUCAACGACUUGAUCAUUGCCCAAAAAUUGUAAAUCUUUAGAUACUACUUCCUUCUAUGUCAUUUUAGG